GACAGAGGGUGCAAACGUUUGUUCGGAAUUACUGGGCGUAAAGCGCGUGUAGGCGGCCCUGCAAGUCGGGUGUGAAAUCCCACGGCUCAACCGUGGAAGUGCACUCGAAACUGCAGGGCUAGAGUCCUGGAGAGGAAGGUGGAAUGCUUGAUGUAGAGGUGAAAUUCGUAGAUAUCAAGCGGAACACCGGUGGCGAAGGCGGCCUUCUGGACAGUGACUGACGCUGAGACGCGAAAGCGUGGGGAGCAAACAGG
rnacentral:rRNA from 1 species